rnacentral:rRNA from 1 species
CCUACGGGAGGCUGCAGUAGGGAAUAUUGCUCAAUGGGGGAAACCCUGAAGCAGCAACGCCGCGUGGAGGAUGAAGGUUUUAGGAUUGUAAACUCCUUUUGUGAGAGAUGAUAAUGAUGGUAUUUCACGAAUAAGCACCGGCUAACUCCGUCCCAGCAGCCGCCGUAAUACGGAGGGUGCAAGCGUUACUCGGAAUCACUGGGCGUAGAGAGUGUGGAGGCGGGCUUGUAAGUCAGAUGUGAAAUCCUGGAGCUUAACAACAGAACUGCAUUUGAAACUAUGAGUCUAGAGUGUGGGAGAGGUAGGUGGAAUUCUUGGUGUAGGGGUAAAAUGCGUAGAUAUCAAGAGGAAUACUCAGUGCGAAGGCGACCUACUGGAAGAUUACUGACGCUCAUGCACGAAAGCGUGGGGAGCAAACAGGAUGAGAUACCCCAGUAGUC